rnacentral:pre_miRNA from 14 species
UGCUCUCUGUGACGAGAGCCACGCCAAUUCUUACCGCGGUAAUAGAACUGCAUAGUUUCUAUCACCGGGUGAAAAUUCGGCUCGGAUCUCUUAACAGAC